UACGGGGGGGGGGCAAGCGUUGUUCGGAAUUCUGGGCGUAAAGGGCUCGUAGGCGGCCAACUAAGUCAGACGUGAAAUCCCCAGGCUCAACCUGGGAACUGCGUCUGAUACUGGAUGGCUUGAAUCCGGGAGAGGGAUGCAGAAUUCCAGGUGUAGCGGUGAAAUGCGUAGAUAUCUGGAGGAAUACCGGUGGCGAAGGCGGCAUCCUGGACCGGCAUUGACGCUGAGGAGCGAAAGCCAGGGGAGCAAAGCGGG
rnacentral:rRNA from 1 species